UUAGGUUCAACGGGUAGUCCCUACCUGAUUUGAAGUCAGAUCAAUUUAACAUUGACCACAACUCUACAGCAGGUCGAGGUUUCUUCAAGGACCUUCAACGACGCGGACGUCGCGUGGAGUUCCCAGACAGCAAAGGCUAUACAGCAUCCAAGGGGUGACUCCCGCAGAGACCCGGACCCGAAAACGAUGCAUUUAAGGGG
rnacentral:misc_RNA from 1 species